UAAGGAAUAUUGCGCAAUGGGCGAAAGCCUGACGCAGCGACGCCGCGUGGGGGAUGAAGGUCUUCGGAUUGUAAACCCCUUUCGGGAGGGAAGAUGGAAUGGGGUAACCCAUUCGGACGGUACCUCCAGAAGCAGCCACGGCUAACUUCGUGCCAGCAGCCGCGGUAAUACGAAGGUGGCAAGCGUUAUUCGGAUUUACUGGGCGUACAGGGAGCGUAGGCGGUUCGGUAAGCCCUCUGUGAAAUCUUCAGGCUUAACCUGGAAAAGUCGGAGGGGACUGCCGGGCUAGAGGACGGGAGAGGAGCGCGGAAUUCCCGGUGUAGCGGUGAAAUGCGUAGAGAUCGGGAGGAAGGCCGGUGGCGAAGGCGGCGCUCUGGAACGUUUCUGACGCUGAGGCUCGAAAGCGUGGGGAGCAAACAG
rnacentral:rRNA from 1 species